UAAUAGAUAAAAAAUAGGUAUAUACAAGUUUGGCUAAAGCUGCAUGGAUAUAAAAGGCAAAUUUAAAAUGUUUAAUUUUUUAAAUUUUUACUUUUUUUUUUUUUUUUUGAGAUGGAUUCUCACUCUGUCGCCAAGGCUGGAGUGCAGUGGUGCAAUCUCAGCUCACUGCAACCUCUGCCUCCUGGGUUCAAGCAAUUCUCCUGUCUCAGCCUCCUGAGUAGCUUGGACUACAGGUGUCUGCCACCACACCCAGCUAAUUUUUUGUAUUUUUAGUUCAGACGGAGUUUCACCAAGUUGGCCAGGCUGGUCUCAAACUCCUGAUCUCAAGUGAUGUGCAUACCUUGGCCUCCCAAAGUGCUGGGAUUACAAGCCUGAGCCACCGUGCCUAGCCUUAUUUUAAUUUUUAUGAGUACACAGUAGGUAUAUAUAUUUAUGGGAUACAUGAGACAUUGUGAUACAGGCAUACAGUGUAUAAAAAUCACAUGAGAAUAAAUGGAGUAUCCAUCCCCUCAAGCACUUAUCAUUUCUUCGUGUUACAAAUGUUCCAAUAAUAUAUUUAUUUUUAAAUGUACAAUAAAUUAUUCUCGACUGUAGUCACUCUGUUGUGCUAUGAAAUACUAGACCUUAUUCAUUCUAUUAACUAUAUUUUUAUACUUUUUUUUUUUUGAGACGGAGUCUUGCUCUGUCACCUAGGCUCGAGUGCAGUGGCUCACUUGGCUCACUGCAAGCUCCGCCUCCCGGGUUCAUGCCAUUCUCUUGCACAGCCUCCCGAGUAGCUGGGACUACAGGCCUGCAGGCGCCUGCCACCAUGCCUGACUAAUUUUUUUUUUUUUUUUUUGUAUUUUUAGUAGAGAUGGGGUUUCACUGUGUUAGCCAGGAUGGUCUUGAUCUCCUGACCUCAUGAUCUGCCCGCCUCAGCCUCCCAAAGUGCUGGGAUUAC
rnacentral:lncRNA from 10 species